UGGGGAAUAUUGCACAAUGGGCGAAAGCCUGAUGCAGCGACGCCGCGUGAGGGAUGACGGCCUUCGGGUUGUAAACCUCUUUCGCCAGGGACGAAGCGCAAGUGACGGUACCUGGAUAAGAAGCACCGGCUAACUACGUGCCAGCAGCCGCGGUAAUACGUAGGGUGCAAGCGUUGUCCGGAAUUAUUGGGCGUAAAGAGCUCGUAGGCGGUUUGUCGCGUCGUUCGUGAAAACUCCACGCUUAACGUGGAGCGUGCGGGCGAUACGGGCAGACUUGAGUUCGGUAGGGGAGACUGGAAUUCCUGGUGUAGCGGUGAAAUGCGCAGAUAUCAGGAGGAACACCGGUGGCGAAGGCGGGUCUCUGGGCCGAUACUGACGCUGAGGAGCGAAAGCGUGGGGAGCGAACAGG
rnacentral:rRNA from 1 species